CGAAGAUUUACCGCGGUUGAACGCUCCCAACUUUUACUACCAUCAAGAAGACAUCCUCUUUGAAGAAAUCGAGAAAAAAGAAGGAUUAACCUGGUCGGUGCACCGACCCGGAGUCAUAUUCGGGUUUUCGCCUUACAGUUUAAUGAACCUCGUUGGCAGUCUUUGCGUUUACGCCGCCAUUUGCAAACACGAAGGCAAACCGUUACACUUUCCUGGGAGCAAAGCCGCUUGGGACUGUUACUUUGAAGCUUCGGAUGCGGAUUUGAUUGCGGAGCAACAUAUAUGGGCGGCGGUGGAUCCGUACGCCAAAAACGAAGCCUUUAAUGUGACUAAUGGGGAUGUUUUCAAGUGGAAGCAUUUGUGGAGCGUUUUGGCAGAGCAAUUUGGGAUAGAAGAAUUUGGGUUCGUGGAAGGGGAGAACCGGGGGAUGGAGGAGAUGAUGAAAGAGAAGGAAGGAGUUUGGGAAGAAAUAGUGAAGGAGAACCAGUUGCAGAAGACGAGUUUGCAGGUGGUGGGAAAUUGGUGGUUUACGGAUACGAUAUUUUCGGCUCCGUUGCAGAUGCCGCUGCUCAGUAUGAAUAAGAGCAAGGAGCAUGGGUUUUUGGGGUUUAGGAAUUCCCGGAAUUCAUUUGUUACUUGGAUUGAUAAGAUGAAGGCUUACAAGAUUGUGCCUUGAUCUCAUUCAAUCUCUUGUUUCAAAUUGUUUCCUUGGUUUUUCAGAUGAAGAUGAAAUUUCUGUUGUUGUACUUCUAAAAUAAGUUCGUAGGGUAAGUUAUUAAUUGGCAUGCUACCGUAAGAUGUCAGAAACAAUUGCUUACCUUCAAAGAGAAGCUUCUGUUGUACUUGUGAAAAUGCUGUGUGGUUUUCUUUUCCCUUUAUUUGUUUAUGAUGCAUUGUCUAUUCUAUCUUGUAGAAUCUUGAAUUAUACUAUUUAUACUUGUUGAUUAGACAAAGUCUUGGCAAAUUUAUUGCAUAUCAGUUCAAUAUCAUGGUUAAUAGUUUCUGCCUGUGGGAAUGCUGUUAUAUGAUUAGCUUCCGUUAAGUGAUUAUACAUUUUAUAAUCAGCCUUGUUAUUUACUUGGUUUUAGCUUAUAGUUUUGAAUUACUCUUUCAGCUUUAGUCUUAGAUUUUUGGAAGCUUACUUUGUUUGAUUAGUUGCCUUCACUUUAUCUUUGUGGUGGUGCUUGAGAUAUGACCAUGGGGGAUGAUGACUACCAGUUAUGAAAAGGUUUGCAAGUGGUCCAUACGGUAGACAUUCCCUAGGCUGAUGAAGGGGUAAAUUCAUAUUGGCUUUAUAACAGCACAAAUGAUUCUGAGCUGAUACCCACCUUAAAGAACUUGCAGAGUUAACAGGCACGGAACUAUAUGGUGGUAACUUGUUCACCCAUUUGAGUUACUGUAUACUGAUAAUCUGUUCACCUACCUGGGUGCCUUUUCUUAUUUAAGUUUAUUUAAGGACCCUCUCUAACUUGACAACAGAGGAGAGGCUGAUCCAUCCAUUUGUUUCCCAAAUGCUGUGUUGAUUACUUUGUUAUUAUCUGGUGAACCUUGACAGCUACAUUUCGCAAUCAUGUAAUUAAUUUAGCUGCAAAUGAGUUAAAAGUAGAUAAAAGUAUCCUCGAAACCUUGAUACUAGAAUGUAGGUAGUAUUUUGUCCUUUUUAUUAAAAAAUUUGAAUAAAUCAAAGAAUAAAUUAGUUCUUUUGUUAACAACUGUCUGGUCAUUUCAUUAGAUCAAUUUUUAAUGGUGGAAAUUGAGAAAAUUGUUAACAAAAAAUAUUAGUUUGUUAUUUGAUCUAACGUAUAAGGAUUAAUUAUCAAAAUUUAGGGCAAAAUGUAAUAUAAUUUCUAGUACAAGAGUUUCUAUGGUUCUUGUACAAGUAAAAGUAUAAUGGAAGCUCUUGUAGGAGAAGUUGAAUUACAUUAAAAAAAUAGAUAGAUUAAUUCUUGUACAUUAAAGCAAACGGAUUCUUACAUUAAAAAUUUCAAUUAUUUCUAUUGUUAAAAAUUAGUUUAUGUACGCUUUGUGUAACAAUUUAUUAUUUUGUUAGUCAUGCUAAUUUUUACCAUAAGAAAUGAUUAACUUUUUUUUUUAUCUAAUGUAAAAGAAUUAAUUUAUUUAAUUUUAAAUUAUAAAGAACAAAAUAUAAUUUAUCAUUUGUAUAAUAAUUUUAUGUUGUAACUGAUGUUUGAUGAAUUCAACUUAAGAUUCUUUCCCUCAACUCUCAGGUUACUUAUAUAAAAUAGAAUUUUAAUCAAGAUUUAAAAUAAAAGUUUUUGAACGAAAAUUUAAUGUAAAUAAAUUUCAAAGUAACUACGUAAAAUGGGUCCAACCAAGACUUAAUGUUAGGUAAGAAUUUAAUUAAGUCAUUGAACAAUACAUCAGCUAUUACGUAUUGGUUUGGGAAAAUAAUGCGAAAGUCCUUUACCCUGUCAUUCACGAUUCAGGGUGAGUUUAGAUGGGCGGUGCGUUUAUUUGUGGUUAGUGUAAAAACAGCGGUGGCGGUGAGAUUAGAUAUUGUAGCGAUACUGUAACGUGAGACAAAAAACAAGCUAAACGCACCGCACCGCACCACAUCCAAUCGUCCAUCCAAACCCACCAUGAGGAAUAACAAGUACAAAAAAAUUUGGUGGAUGCUACAUCUUCUCCACAAUAACAAGUAAAAGGAACAGGGAGAAGUCUAAAAUUUUUGAAGGAUGGAAAUUAAAUUCUAUUUUUGUGAUUUUUAAAAUAUUAAAUUAAAUAUUUAUUAUUUUUAGGGAGCUAAAAUAUAAUUUUACUUUUUAUUAAUUUUAAAAUUUUAAAAAAAUUAAAAUAUUAAAUAAAAAAAAUUCUAUUUUAAGAAGAUUAGGCCGUAACCACAAAUUGUUUUUGCCUAUACCAAUGAUAUAAAAUGUAGGAUUGAAUUGAGAGAAAAUGUAAAUACUAAAAAAUUAAGUCAAUUUUUCUCAAAUAAUAAAAUUUUAAAAAGUUAAAUUACUAAAUCGAUAAAAUUAAAAUGAUAUAAAACUAAUACCAAUGUCACAUAUUCCUUUUGAUUUUUAUAUAUUUUAAUAUUUUAGUCACAUCUUAACCUAUAACAAAAGCGAACACUAGUCUUGAGGCUUAGGCUCCCUUUGGAUGCAACUGCAUCUCAGUGUGUUGGCUGUUUUAGGCUAAAAAAAAAUUACAACUGAAACGUUAGUAAACGCAAGGCUGUUUGGAAAGCAUUCUUCAGUGCGUUGAGAAUGCAUUUCACCUCUUAAUUUCAGACUGGAGCCUUUUGUUCCAGUGAAAAUUGGGUCACUUCAAUUGCUUUUUUUUUUCCUCUUUUACCCAUAUAUUCUUCCGUUACAUUCUUCUUCAGGCUUUUCUGAUGUUUGGUUACCCUUCUUCUCCCCUUUCCCCUUCCCCUUGGGUUGCAAAUCAGUGUUCUUGGAUUUUCUGUGUUUCUCUUUUUUUCUAAUUGAAAUUUUCAUUUUUUUCCUUAUUUGGUUUUGCAUUUUUUUUUAAAAUUCUGUGUUCUUGGAUUGACAAGAGCAAAAGUUCUUGAUCGGAAGUUCAAUAAUAAAACUGUCUUGCUUCAUUUCCAUUAUUUAUUGCUUGGUUAACAUUCUGUAAGGCCUUUGUAAUUAUGCUUCAAUAUCGUGUUUCAGUUUUGUUUUUUGUUGAUUAUUUUCUAAUCUUGAGUUUCCCCUGUUCUGCAUCAGAUAUGCAUGUACUAUGAGUCCAUAAUCCAUAUUAUUUCAGUGAUAACAUGGGGGGUGUACUGAGGACAUUGUUAUUUGAUCCCUCUUUUUUCUUUUUCUCUUAUUUAAGGGACUUACAUUUGUUAUGCUCAGGUGUAAACCUUGAUGGAAUCUGUUUUCACUUUUCUUUCUUAGAGAGUUUUUACAUAGCUUUAUGGCUCUGUAAUGAUGGUCAUUGGAGUAUAUCCGUCCUGUGGAUUUUUGAUCUAUCAUUCUCGUCUCCCAAAAAUAUUUUAAGUUUUACAUUUUUCCUUUUAUUUUCACUGGGCUUUGGGAGAGGUUGUUAAAACUUUUGCAAAACCAGUGAACUUUUGUGGUAUCUACCAGAUUGGUUCAAUCCCAUUUGCUUAUUUUCUUGGCAUAUGGUGGAAGUCGUGACUCGUGAAAAGCAUUAAAAAAUAGCUCGUUUUAGUAUGUAUAACCUAAGUUGUCGGAUUUUGGAUCAGUUAAUAUCCAGAAUCAAAGAAUCACUGCAAACGUGAUAUAUUGUUCUUAUGGUUCCUUGCUAUUCUGUAGAAUCGGUGAGUUUAUUUGCUAUUCUGUAGAAUCGGAGUUGUUCUUAUGAUCAAUGUUGCAAACUUUUGCUUCUAAAGAUGCUUGCAGUGGGAAUUUUUAUUGUUAGACUCCUGUGACUUCUUUUAUGACUCUUCAAUAGUCUGAUCAAUAAAGUCUUUGUUUUGAAUGGUUUUCUUUUGUUGCAAAGGAUGGUGCGCAGGAUGAAUUCAGUUUUAUGCUGUAUUUUAAAAUGCUAUGCUGUCUGUAUGCUGAUCUGCAUUUUAUUCUCUUGUGUUCUUUGUCUGGUGAUGUUCAAAUUGUUAGGGAGCUUGUUACAAAUUUGUUAACGGUUUUGUUUAUUAAUGUUUUCUCUGUUCAUUGUCUUGGCUUUUCUAAUCUAUUCAUCCUUAUUCUGCAGCAUAUUGAAGACUUGACUCAGGAAAAGUUUUCACUGCAACGAGCUCUUGAGGCCUCACGUACAUUAGCAGAAUCUUUGGCUGCUGAAAAUUCAUCUUUGACUGAGUUAUAACCAACAGGUUUGUUUCCAAAUAUUAGAUUAGCAGCAUUACCGGCUGUCAUGGUCAUGAUAUGUUUUUUUUAUCAGUUCAUCGUGCUUCUCCAUUGCAGCACUUUCUGUCAUUUCAUUAUCCUAAUUUGUAUUCUCAAUCCUUCUUAAAAAUCUCUUAAUUAUCUUACAUUUACUUUUCUCCCCAGAUAAGCAUUGUCAACCGGCUAAAAUCUGACAUGGAGAGCUUAGAAGAAGAAAUCAAGGCCCAACUGGUUAGUAUUUACUAUAUUUAGGUACUGGUAGUCACUUCAAAUUGUUAGAAAUAAUUGAAUCUCAUAUAACUACAUACCACUUUAUGUCAUAUGGUUAAUGCAAUGGUGUUUGUAUGGCCUGUGUCAUGUGUGCACAUAUGCACAUUGGUUUAGACUUGUUUGUGCUUAGAUAAAGUUCUAUCUAAAAAUUGAGAUACCUACUGCUGUCUAUUGCAUCUCUGGUGGUACCCAUUAACCAAAAAAUGCAGUACAAGGAACCCUCUUGAGGUUGUCCAUGUCUAUGCCCUUUGAUCUACACUUGAAGGGGCCUUAAGUAGUGCUAUCCCAAAGUUAUUAAAUAUUGGGUUUGUUUCGGUUUUAUAUUCAGGUUGGGCCUCUCAACCUAUUGCCUAUUGGUUUUAGGUUAGAUGCUUAAUAACUUUUUAUCUAUAAAAAUGAUCCUAAGGCUGGAGCUUGUCCAUUUUUCCUGGAUUCAAUCAAUAAGUCUUUGUUUUGAAUGGUUUUUUUUUUGUUGCAAAGGAUGGUGCACAGGAUGUUGUUGAACUUUGGCCUGCAAUGCAAUAGGAAACCAGCAGCAAACCAGCGUGCAGACCAGCAUCCAAGCUGAACCAGAUAAGCAGCAGCAUUUUGUUUAUUUUGUUUAUUUGUAACUUGAUUUAGUUGCAAUGUAAUUUAUACUUAAAGUUAGUAGGAGUAGUUGUUGAUUUAUGUUUGAUGUUAUAGCUGGUAUGUCAGCUACAUUUUGUUUGUAAUUCUAUCUAGGCUUUAGUCAUGUAUCUUAUACUUGACUCGUUCAAGCUUUUGAUGGUUUUUGAACCAUGAACAAUAAGAAAUGAAUCAGAUAUGUUGAUGAAGAAUUGAACAUGUGGUUUCUAUUGGAUUUCUUCUGAAAUUAAGAAAUGAAUCAUUUUUCAUUCAUCAUUGCAUUGCUUCAUCUUUAGCUCAAAUGUGAAUCAUUUUGCAUUUUCUCUUCUGAUGAAUAUUCCAAUCUAUUGGACAAAUACACUAGUGUGAUGUUGGAAACAUGGAUCUAGAUUUGAAUUGUAUGCCUUGGGUUUCAAUAUAAAUGAAGCAGAAAUUAUAUAUUUAAAUUUGAUUUAUUAUAUAAAUAGUAAGAAUAAAAUGAAAAGUAUAAAAAUAUUUUGAAAAUAUGAAUGUUACAUUUUUAAAAAUAUUUUAUCCAAUUUCUGUUUAAAUAAUGUUUUGAUUGAUUGUAGGCUAAACAGGGAUUUAACAAUGCUAAUGUUAUAAAGUCAUAUUUUGACGUCUUUAAUCUUAUAUUAUAACUCCAAUGUUAAACUAAAUCAAACUUAAAGUUUAACUUAAUUUUUAUCACCCCCAAUGUCUUAUAAUAUUGUAUUAGUAAAACAUUUUAAAGGAUUUGGUAUGUAGGCAAAAUUUCAUACAAACAUAGAUAACGAAAUUAGUUCAAUUGAGUAACACUGUUAAACCUUCUUGUUAAUUUGAGCUAUUCAGUAACUUAUGUGCUAGGAAUUAGUAAAAAUCAGCAGUAGCAUAUUUAUGUAAUUGUAAUAAUUCAUUUUUAAUUAUUUAUUAUUGAAAAUAAUUAUAAUUGUAAUAAUUUUUAAUCAUUUAUUAAUUUUAUAAUUGUUAAAUAAUUUUAAAAAUUUCUAUUAUAUAUCAUUUUUAAUCUAAUAUCCUUAAAAGUCAUUUUCUAUUUUCACCUCACCUCUACAGCUGCGUUUGAAUCCAAACGCACACUCCACCGCUAUUUCUAAUCUCACUGCUACAGUACCCAAUCUCACCGCUACAGUAACUAAUCUCACCGCCACCGCUGUUUUUAACCUCACCGGAGCUAAACACCCCCCAUCUAAACUAAGCCUUGGUUUAUGGCUUUAACUACAUUGCCUCUACUGUAACCCAAACCAUACUGUUGGACAAGCUUUAAAUCUACUUUUAAAAUUUUAUUCAGCAAACAUUCAUGACAUGGAAAUUUACUGUAUUUGAUGAAGCUUAAAUUUUCAUUUUUGCACAAUUAUGACAUGUUUAAGAUAAGCAAAGAGUUGUGACCAACUUAAAAGGUUUUACAACUUCAAUAUUUAAAGCUAUUAAAUUUAUGUUUGUUUCAUGUCUUAAUAGAGAAAAUGUUGAAUUAUUUUACUCAUGAAUUUUGUGGUUCUUCUAACAAUGGAUGGAGCUUGAAAUACUGUUAAGUUUGAAAACUCAAGGUUUGUGCAAAAUUAACGUGAGUAAAGAGAUCAGCAUCUAAACUUAUUCUCCCAAAUGCUUAUCCAACUACACAAAGGGCUGCCUAGAGACUGUUCAUUCAUCCAUCAUCUUACCGUUCGUGUUAGCUUGUUGAUUUGCGGUGUUGAUGGUGUUCUAACACAAAGGUUUUGUUUGAUAGAGUGAAAAGAAGAUUAAAAAGGGUUAGAAAAAUAGUAAGUCUUUCACGCUAAUUCUUGGUGGAAAUUUUGCUCAUCCAGAGUGGGUGUUGGCUGCGCUCCUAUUUGCAUUUCAAUCCCAAAAAGAAGAGUUUCCAUAUGUGAAUCCAAACAUCGUCACGGCUCUCCUCAUCCCUUUUGUCGUUUUCAUGAAUUGCUUGCUAUAAAUUGGCAACAAGGAGUAUUAAUUAAAACCAAGAACAAAAUCCUUUCCAAUCCAAUAUUUCAAAUCCCUUUAAUCUUCUUGAUCAAUAAAACCACCCCACCCAGAUUGUUGGUUAGCUAUCCCAUCAAAUCAUCUAUCAUCAAUUUCCUAACGUUUCCUUUUUGGUUUAUUGCCGUCUCCCACAAAUCUAAUCUAAGUUGUUUUAAAGAAAGAAAAUGAGCUGGUGGUGGGCUGGUGCUAUCGGAGCUGCUAAGGCAACUCUCCUUUUUCAUUGGCUUGCUGGAUUUCUGUUUGCCCUUCACGAAAUUGAUUCUUUUUCUUUGUUUUAAUUUUUGCAGAAGAAAUUUGAGGAAGAUGAAGCACCGAAAAGCCUCAAGAGCGUUGGGCUGAUCAUUGGAGUCACCGGCAUAGUUGGCAAUAGCUUGGCUGAAAUCCUCCCUUUAUCCGACACUCCCGGCGGCCCAUGGAAAGUAUACGGGGUGGCUCGUCGGCCCAGACCCAACUGGAACGCCAACCAUCCAAUCCAGUACAUUCAAUGCGAUGUAUCCGACCCGAAUGAUACCGAAUCAAAGCUCUCUCAACUUACCGACGUCACUCAUAUCUUCUACGUCAGCUGGACCAACCGAACAUCCGAAGCAGAGAAUUGUGAGAUCAACGGUUCCAUGCUUCGCAAUGUUUUGCGUUCCGUGAUCCCAAACGCACCCAAUCUCCGCCACAUCUGUCUACAAACAGGAGUCAAACAUUAUCUUGGACCGUUCGAGUUGUUGGGUAAAAUCCAACUGCAUGAUUCGCCUUUCACUGAAGAUUUACCGCGGUUGAAUGCUCCCAAUUUUUACUACCAUCAAGAAGACAUCCUCUUUGAAGAAAUCGAGAAAAAAGAAGGAUUAACGUGGUCGGUGCACCGACCCGCAGUCAUAUUCGGGUUUUCGCCUUACAGUUUAAUGAACCUCAUUGGCAGUCUUUGCGUUUACGCCGCCAUUUGCAAACACGAAGGCAAACCGUUACACUUUCCUGGGAGCAAAGCCACUUGGAACUGUUACUUUGAAGCUUCGGAUGCGGAUUUGAUUGCGGAGCAACAUAUAUGGGCGGCGGUGGAUCCGUACGCCGAAAAUGAAG
rnacentral:lncRNA from 1 species